UUUCCGUAGGUGAACCUGCGGAAGGAUCAUGAAUGAGUUGCAAAACUCCCAAACCAUUGUGAACGUUACCUAUCCCGUUGCUUCGGCGGGCGGCCCGGGCCCCGCGCCCGGCGCCCCCCGGCCCCCCGUGGGCGCCCGCCGGAGGUAAACCAAACCCUUGAAUUGCAUGGCCUCUCUGAGUCUUCUGUACUGAAUAAGUCAAAACUUUCAACAACGGAUCACUUGGUUCUG
rnacentral:misc_RNA from 1 species